rnacentral:lncRNA from 1 species
GGGAGGCCUAUUUUAUGGCCGGCGAACACGAGACUAGCAAGGUCCGCGACCUCGGUGAAGCCCGUGGCAGUGGGAGGCCGGGCAGGUACCGGCAAGCGCGCAAGCGCCACCUUAGGGGAGGGGCGACCUGCGACGAGAGGUGAGCCCUGAUCACUGUUCCUGUUCGUCAGCCCAGAUCACCGUCUUCAUCGCCCCUCGAUCAGACCUGUGAUUUGUUUCAUUUUCUUGCCGGCACCGGCUAACGAGCAGGGGCAACUCCGGCAUGCCAAGUUUGGAACUACAAAAGCACGCUCACCGUCGGCCAGUGAGGUUAGUCACCAGUCACCACCCGCUGUUCUACCUGCUCGGUUUGUUUUGCUUCCAUCCGUGUUGACUUCCUGCCUUUGCUUGGCAUCACGAGGGUGCAUCCAGUGAUUAUGUGCUUCUCCGUGAUGGGGGUGGCAAUUUGUGUGUUAAUUAUCUUUGAGCUGACCAGGGCCUCUUCAACUGGCUUGGCAAUUGCGCUGGCAGCCGGAACAGUGUGUGAUUGGUAGAACCUUGCCUAUCUGACGUUAAUUCCGUGGUUCAUAGUCUACAUACUGAUGUUAUUAUAUCCACCUAUUAGAUAUGUGUCAUUCGUACCUGUUAAACUUGAGUGUUUUUAUUUAUUUAUUGGAUUCAACCGCCUCUAUGAUUUGGUGACCAUCUUUAAUCAUUUUACAUUAGAACCUUCUUUAUUUUGGUUGCACCAAGACUUAAUGUUGUGUCAUGAUACUGCUUGCUUCUGAACUUACAACAAAAAUAUUUCAUUCAUGUUCUGACAUACUUUGGUGAAGACUAAAUUUUGCAUUAAUUACAAAUAUGUUUUGCACAUAUAUGUUAGCACAUGAUUCAGUUUCUAUAAUUUCAUAUUACUGCAAUUCCACGCAGGGGAUUUGUGUCCAUUCAUGACUUGCUGUACUAUAGGAGUUGUUGAGAAUUCCUGGACAAAUAAAAGUUUCCUGCUUGGGUCACAAUUACUCAAAUAUGAGCCUUUUCAAUGCUUUCUUUUUUAUGUACUAUUUAUUUGAUCAACAACCUAUGUGAAGUACUUUACGGAGCAACCAUGCUGUAGUGCCUUAUAUACAAUUAAUCACCUUCUAUUCAUAGAUGACAGACAAUAUUCCAGAGCAGGUGGUACGAGCUUCAUGUAUGUUGCUGAUUCAUAAGAGACAGACUUGGGUGCAGGUGACGUAGUCCUUGGAAUGCUUCCUUUAGAAUAGAAAUUUCUAGGCCAUGGAGUUAAUAUAUAAAUUGAAAUUAAGACAAGAAGAAUGCAUUUAGUUAGGUUUACUCUACAUUGUACUUUGAUUUAAAAAGAAACAUGUUUUGUUGUUUCAUGAGAUUGAAUCAUGGGCUGUGACCAAGCAAUAUAUUGCAUGCUCAUAGUGUGUUUUAUUUACAUUUGUGUUCUCCUACAUGGAAAAUAUAGACUUAAUGCCAGAUUGGAAAUUACAUUUUAUUUGUGUCACCCAGAAGGUCCAGAAUUGAUAGAAAUAUGACCUUUAUUUGUCCAUGAGCAAUCUUUUCAAAUAACCAUUUAAUGAUUACCUCUUUCUAUUGCUACUCAGAUGCUUAGCAUAAGCCAAUAAAAAAAUACUAGGUAGUUCUGGUUAUAAAUUAAUUGUCGGUUUAUAAUCAUAUUACGGGUACUCGGAUGCUUAGCAUAAGCCAAUAAAAUAAUAUUAGGUAGUCAUUAUUAUAAAUUAAUUGUCGGCUUAUAAUCAUAUUACGGGUACUCAGAUGCUUAGCAUAAGCCAAUAAAAUAAUACUAGGUAGUUCUGGUUAUAAAUUAAUUGUCGGCUUAUAAUCAUAUUACGGGUACUCGGAUGCUUAGCAUAAGCCAAUAAAAUAAUAUUAGGUAGUACUGAUUAUAAAUUAAUUGUCGGCUUAUAAUCAUAUUACGGGUACUCAGAUGCUUAUCAUAAGCCAAUAAACAUUGUGAAAUAACCAUUCAAUGAUUCAUUUUUCUAUAUCAGGAAAUUACAUUUUAUUUGUGUCACCUAGAAGGUUCUGAACUGAUAGAAAUGUGAUCUUUAUUUGUCCAUGAGCAAUCUUGUCAAAUAACCAUUUAAUGAUUACCUCUUUCUACUCCUACUACGCACAUACACCACCGCCAACCAUCCUCCCGAAACAGUCGCUCGGCUAAUAUGGUGUUUCCAUGCUGAUCGCACUUUUGUUCUUGCUAUUAUGAUAGCUAAGUAUGAAACUCGGGGUUUAGAAGCUUGAGAAAUUGUAUCUGGACAUGGCCUUGCAAAAAGAAGUUAGGUGCAUUCUCUAUAAAGGGCAACCUGGUGCAUGUAGCUCCCGCUUGCGCAGGGUCCAGGGAAGGGUCCGACCACUUUGGGUCUAUAGUACGCAGCCUUUCCCUACAUUUCUGUAAGAGGCUGUUUCCAGGACUUGAACCCAUGACCUCAUGGUCACAAGGCAGCAGCUUUACCACUGCGCCAAGGCUCCCCUUCAGGUGCAUUCUCUAUGAGAAACUGAAAAUAUAUAUUUUCUUAAAUUAGGUCAGGUCUAUAUACUAUCUUUGGUAACUGAAAUUGUUAUGCUUAUAUUGAAAAUAAUUUGAAAUUUACAAGGCAGUGGAGCCAGUUCAUAUUUUGUGAUCAACCAAAGUGCAAGCAACCUAAAUUAGUAAUCUUCGAAUAAACUGGCUUAUAAAUUUUUGAUGGUUUUGUCAAUAGUACAGUAGCACUGGAUAUUCUGCUAUUUCUUAUAUUUAGAAUUUGCGCUGACCUGAUUACUACUGUGCCAUGCAGAAACCUUGAUGCAAAAGGAAGCUCCAUGAAGAAGAGAUUGAAAAUCCAACAUCACAACAUAUAUCUGAUUUCUUAUUUUCAUGAUUAGCAAAGUUAUUGCAGACUGCUUGUUUGUUGUCUGAUAAAAUACAUCUCUGAAAAUUCAAUAGACCCUUUGAUCGAGUUUACAUCUGUUAUCCUGUCUGUUCCAAAUUUGAUUUAGGUCUAUAGGCAAGGGCUAAACUGAAUCAUGCUACUACACAAGGGCUAAACUAAACCAUACUAGUACUUCCUACAUGCCCAAUUACUGAUGAUAGGAACUAACAGUUGGGCUGGGCGAUGUUCCCAUGCAUGGUCGCGCUAUGUUAAUUAGUGUGUGCUGACCGUAACAUGUUACUAUUAUUUUUCCGCAGAGGAGAGAGGGCCUGGCGAAGCACGUGGACCAGUUAUCAUUACGGUGGAUUUUACACGACGCACGCGCAUCGGUCUAGUUAGCGCGUAUGCUAAGAAAUAAA